rnacentral:rRNA from 1 species
UACGUAGGCAGCAAGCGUUGUUCGGAAUUACUGGGCGUAAAGAGUGUGUAGGCGGUGCUCUAAGUCUGUUGUGAAAUCUCCCGGCUUAACUGGGAGGGUGCGCGGAAACUGGAGUGCUCGAGGGUGGAGAGGUAAGCGGAAUUCCUGGUGUAGCGGUGAAAUGCGUAGAUAUCAGGAGGAACACCUGUGGUGUAGACAGCUUACUGGACCACUUCUGACGCUGAGACACGAAAGCGUGGGUAGCAAACAGG